rnacentral:tRNA from 1 species
CAGAGAAUAGUUUAUUAGUAAAAUAAUAAUUUUGGGGAUUAUAGAAAAGAGGAAUUCUUUUCUCUGA